GAAAUUGUGGAUGAUUUAAAUUUGACUUUAAAAUAUCAUGUCUCAACACCAACAUUAUUCUAUGUGAAAUUUCACAAGAUCAGGACACUUCGUUUUUAAAUUUAAAUGAUUUUUUGAAUGUAAAUGAACUUUAUUUUGAAACUUCUCACCCCGCUACUCAAGAUUUGUUUUAUGUGGUAGAUGAUUAUGAAAGCACAGGAGUUUGAAAUUCUAUCAAUAUAGCUAAUCUAAUGGCUAAAUAAAAAAAUAUACCCCUAUAUAGUAUAAGACUAGUCUUUAUACUCUAUAGGGGUAUACUUAUUUUUUAUUUAGCCAUUAGAUUAGCUAUAUUGAUAGAAUUUCAAACUCCUGUGAUGAAAGUGACCUUGAGUCAAACCAUGAUGAGUCUGAUAUUGAUAUUGAUGUAGAAGCUUUCAAAAAAACACAUCAGAUACUGCGUUUACUGAAAAGUCUGAACUUCAUGUGGCAGAAGCUGAUAAACAAAUUUAAACAAAUAUAAGGUUGACUUUUAAAAAUGUUUAAGCACAAAUUUAAUUAAUAAUUAUUAUUAUAAAAAAGUGUUAUGUAGAUAAAUAACCAAUAAUUUGAUAUUCUACAGGUUGGGAAGUUACGGUCUUGGCGAACAGCAUUCUCACUUUCAGUGUGACAACUGUUGCGGCCAAAAUAAAAACAACAUAGUCAUCUGGUACCUUCUGUGGAGAGUUCUUGUAGGUUUACACAGAAUCAUCACACUAAGCUUUAUGUUGAUAAGACAUACAAAGUUUACACCAGAUUGGCACUUUGGCAUCUGGAAGUCAAAGUGGAGAAACUUCAAUGCAGAAAUGUUGUCUUAUGUCGCUGCGUCUGUGGGGUUAUCGUCAAGGACGGGCCACAACAUCCCCCAGCUUGGGGGAGACUUGCAAUCCUGUUGUUAUCUAAGACAGGAAGGAUUACCCAACGACAUUGUUUCACCACAUAAAGAAUGUCACCAAAUUUCAUCAAUUUCCAUGUGUCAGCGGAGCAUCCCGGUGUUGUGGAAUGCAGGGAAUUUAGUGACUCACCAGUAGUCAGAAUCACUCUCAGGAAGGUCUCGAAAGUGAAUGUUAAUGUGAGCUGUGACAACCUGCCAUAAGAAAUGUUUGCGAAAGGGCUCGAUCUGGACCAUCAGUGGUAUUUAUUCGAAAACUAACGUGAAUUCUGUCGCAUAGAUGAACCAAAAACCUGACAUGUCCGAAACGCGCUACUGGUGAGCAACAAAAAACAGACUGUGCCCCCCCAAAAAGAAGAUGCAUUAAGAUGCGCAUCUGAUCUUCUCUGAUGGUGCCACAACAAUUACAUACAUCAUGUAUCAGUGUUUAUUUUGGCCAAGGUAUUGGGUGAUAUAUUUUCCCACAAACAAUGCAAAAAAUCCUCUAUUCCUAGGAAAGCUAAAACAUGUAUACGAUUGCUGAAUGUGUCAGUUGAUACAGGUUUUGAAAUGUUCAAUGCAAACUUUUGUUGUUCUAAUUGCACAAGCUUUUUUUCAAGUUUUUUAUAUCUCAUAUUUACAAAACAAAAAACAUUUUUUCCAUGUAGAUCUAACCAUGCAAUUGUUUUCACCUUAUGGACACAGACUGCCUAUCAGAAAAACUGGAAAAAAAUCCGUGUGAAUAUUGUAUUUAUUUAUGUUUUACAAUGAAAAUCCUAUAUUUUUGUUUGUUUGCUACAUUGUUUCCAUAGUAACAAAAACAAACAAUUUUUAUGUUUAAGUUAUUGUUUAUUUUCUUUUUUUCUCUGUCAGAAAUAAUGAUAAAUAAUGAUUAUUUCAUUUACUGAAACAUUUAGUAUCCAAGUGUACUUUCAACCAACCCUUUUUAAUGCUGUGUUUUUCCAUUCUGUUGUGUUUGAGGUUACAUUAUACUUAUAUACACAUGUAACUGAAUAAAAAAAGGAAAUUGUUCAUGGAACACACACAUUAUUGAUUGUUAUCGUUUAACUAGUUACAAAACAGUGAAAUUAAUGUUGUGUUUGCCUUUAAACAAACACUUGAUUGAAAAUACAAUUCAUAGAUUUAUAAAAGGCGUGAUUGUGUGCUCUGGUGAUUAUUAACAUGUAGAUUGGUUACCAUAGCAACACAAAUGGUACAUUUUAAAUGUCCAUAAUGCUGUUGUCAGUUUAUUGCACUAUAAUUAUGUAUUUGACUAAAGGAAAGAUUAUUGUUUUAAUAAAACAAUGUGCUUGUUGUUUGAAAA